CCUACGGGGGGCAGCAGUGAGGAAUAUUGGUCAAUGGGCGCGAGCCUGAACCAGCCAAGUCGCGUGAAGGAUGACUGCCCUAUGGGUUGUAAACUUCUUUUAUAAGGGAAUAAAGUGUGGCACGUGUGCCCUUUUGUAUGUACCUUAUGAAUAAGGCUCGGCUAACUCCGUGCCAGCAGCCGCGGUAAUACGGAGGAUCCGAGCGUUAUCCGGAUUUAUUGGGUUUAAAGGGAGCGUAGAUGGGAUGUGAAGUCAGUUGUGAAAGUUUGGGGAUCAACCGUAAAAUUGCAGUUGAAACUGGCAGCCUUGAGUACGGGAGAGGUAGGCGGAAUGCGUGGUGUAGCGGUGAAAUGCGUAGAUAUCACGAAGAACUCCGAUUGCGAAGGCAGCCUACUAAACAGCCACUGACGUUGAUGCACGAAAGCGUGGGUAUCAAACAGGAUUAGAUACCCGUGUAGUC
rnacentral:rRNA from 1 species